rnacentral:rRNA from 1 species
UACGUAGGGUGCGAGCGUUGUCCGGAAUUAUUGGGCGUAAAGGGCUCGUAGGCGGUCUGUUGCGUCAGGAGUGAAAACUCGGGGCUUAACCCCGAGCCUGCUUCUGAUACGGGCAGACUAGAGGUAUGCAGGGGAGAACGGAAUUCCUGGUGUAGCGGUGAAAUGCGCAGAUAUCAGGAAGAACACCAAUGGCGAAGGCAGCUCUCUGGGACGGUACUGACGCUGAGACGCGAAAGCGUGGGGAGCAAACAGG